AACGAACGCUGGCGGCGUGUCUUAAGCAUGCAAGUCGUGCGGCAAGGGUAGCAAUACCCCCUAGAGCGGCGGACUGGUGAGUAACGCGUGGGUGAUCUACCUUUGGGAUGGGGAUAGCCACUAGAAAUAGUGGGUAAUACCGAAUACGUUCGUCGGGCUUUGGCCUGACGAGGAAAGGCGCUUCGGCGCCACCCGAAGAUGAGCCCGCGUCCCAUUAGCUAGUUGGUGAGGUAAGAGCCCACCAAGGCGAUGAUGGGUAGGCGGCCUGAGAGGGUGUACGCCCACAUUGGGACUGAGAUACGGCCCAAACUCCUACGGGAGGCAGCAGCUAAGAAUAUUCCGCAAUGGACGAAAGUCUGACGGAGCGACGCCGCGUGGAUGAAGAAGGCCGAAAGGUUGUAAAAUCCUUUUGUUGGGAAGAAUAACCAUGGGAGGAAUGCCCGUGGGAUGACAUGAACCGACGAAUAAGUCCCGGCUAACUACGUG
rnacentral:rRNA from 1 species